rnacentral:sRNA from 3 species
AUGUACCACUCGUGCACUGCGGUUCUGAGCGCGCCGUCCGCGCCCACCUGACGACUGCUCACUACGUUUUGUUAGCC